rnacentral:rRNA from 2 species
UGACCUCAAAUCAGGUAGGACUACCCGCUGAACUUAAGCAUAUCAAUAAGCGGAGGAAAAGAAACUAACAAGGAUUCCCCUAGUAACUGCGAGUGAAGCGGGAAAAGCUCAAAUUUAAAAUCUGGCGGUCUUAUGGCUGUCCGAGUUGUAAUCUAGAGAAGUGUUAUCCGCGCUGGACCGUGUACAAGUCUCCUGGAAUGGAGCAUCAUAGAGGGUGAGAAUCCCGUCUUUGACAUGGACUGCCAGGGCUUUGUGAUGCGCUCUCAAAGAGUCGAGUUGUUUGGGAAUGCAGCUCAAAAUGGGUGGUAAAUUCCAUCUAAAGCUAAAUAUUGGCGAGAGACCGAUAGCGAACAAGUACCGUGAGGGAAAGAUGAAAAGAACUUUGGAAAGAGAGUUAAACAGUACGUGAAAUUGCUGAAAGGGAAACGCUUGAAGUCAGUCGCGUCAUCCAGGGAUCAACCUUGCUUUUGCUUGGUGCACUUCCUGGUUUGAUGGGUCAGCAUCAAUUUUGACUAUUGGAAAAAGGCUGAGGGAAUGUGGCAUCUUCGGAUGUGUUAUAGCCCUUGGUCGCAUACAAUGGUUGGGAUUGAGGAACUCAGCACGCCGCAAGGCCGGGUUUAAACCACGUACGUGCUUAGGAUG